GGAUGUGAAGGUGAUCUGGCUUCAACAUCUGUCACCCCAUGGAUAGCUAGGGCUGAUUCAGCUGACCUGGCUGGCUAGGCAGGUGUCCCCUAGCUUCCCCAUUGUUCCAUGUGUGUCCCUCCUUUAUUUAUUUAUUUAUUUAUUUAUUUAUUUUGAGUUGGAGUCUCACUCCGUCUCCCAGACUGAAUUGCAGUGGGAUGUUCCCGGCCACCUCAGCCUUGACCUGCUGGGCUCUGGCGAU
rnacentral:sRNA from 1 species